UCGUAACAGUGCAUAAGUUCACAAAAAACAUUCCAGGACCCUCUGAGCAGUGUGUGCUGUUAAGGCUGUCACAGGCAUUGCUCUUAUAGCGUAGAGUGUUAGCUGAUGGUUUAAAUGCUUUUACAGCUGUCGACUUCUUCAACCAACUCAAUAUGCUGCAUGAAACCAUUAUGGACUUCUGCACAGAGGAGUACUGCCCUGUGAUGUCUGCUGCUCCAAAAUUUGAGUACCACUGGGCAGAUGGGACCAACAUAAAGAAACCAAUUAAGUGCUCUGCACCGCAGUACAUUGAUUACCUGAUGACUUAGGUCCAGGAUCAGCUGGAUGAUGAAACGCUAUUUCCUCUUAAAAUAGGAAUUCAACCUUAUUGGCAGAGGGGAACUUGCACUUCUUCAACAACUGAUUGAAAAAUUCACCUCUAAGGACAGAUAAAAGGAAAAAGAUUUCUUGAAGUCACUUGCUUCUUCAAGCAAGCAUGUGGUAUUUGGGUUUUGUUCAUUUGGCUUUUAAACCAAACAAAACAACCCACCUGAGCUGUUACUUCAAACAGCCAAAUCCAUUUUCUGUGCCUUAAUUAGGGGAAAUCUUUUCUGCUAGUGACACAGAGUAAAUAGCUUUUUUUGUUUGUUUUUAAUUUUAUUUUUCAUCACUGUUAUUCAUUGUGGAAUUUUAGCAGGUGCUGAGUGUUUAUAAAGGAAAGAUGGUUGGUUAGGGGAUUGACUCUGCUGGUGGAUGGGUUCUGUACUGUGUCAGUGGUAACCCAUUGUCACGAAGUCCCUAAAAGACUUGCUUACAUUCUCUAAGUUCCUUGGCUGACUCACUUUUGAGGUGCAAAGUACAUACAAUACUGAACAUUGCUGAAAUCAACGAUCUCCAGCUUUUAGUACAGAUAGCUGCCUUAUUUUUUUAGACAUUAACAUAGAAUUUUUCAAAAGUAGAUAUUUCUUAUAAAGAAAAGCAAUGGUGAAGUUCUGGUCGCUAAAGAGGAAUGAUGAAGGUGUGUCAAAAUGACAGAGAACCUGUGCUUAGCAAGAAGUUACAUGUCUUGACUUUGCUUUGGGCUUUCCAUAGUUGCUUUUGUGAUAAACACAUAAAUGUAUUGGC